rnacentral:tRNA from 1 species
AGUCCCGUAGUCUAGUGGCCAAGGAUUCGGGGCUCUGGACCCCGAGACGGCGGUUCGAAUCCGCCCGGGACUA